AAGGAUCGCCGUAGGUGACCUGCGGAGGGAUCAUUACACAAAUAUGAAGGCGGGCUGGAACCUCUCGGGGUUACAGCCUUGCUGAAUUAUUCACCCUUGUCUUUUGCGUACUUCUUGUUUCCUUGGUGGGUUCGCCCACCACUAGGACAAACAUAAACCUUUUGUAAUUGCAAUCAGCGUCAGUAACAAAUUAAUAAUUACAACUUUCAACAACGGAUCUCUUGGUUCUGGCAUCGAUGAAGAACGCAGCGAAAUGCGAUAAGUAGUGUGAAUUGCAGAAUUCAGUGAAUCAUCGAAUCUUUGAACGCACAUUGCGCCCUUUGGUAUUCCAAAGGGCAUGCCUGUUCGAGCGUCAUUUGUACCCUCAAGCUUUGCUUGGUGUUGGGCGUCUUGUCUCUAGCUUUGCUGGAGACUCGCCUUAAAGUAAUUGGCAGCCGGCCUACUGGUUUCGGAGCGCAGCACAAGUCGCACUCUCUAUCAGCAAAGGUCUAGCAUCCAUUAAGCCUUUUUUUCAACUUUUGACCUCGGAUCAGGUAGGGAUACCCGCUGAACUUAA
rnacentral:rRNA from 1 species